rnacentral:rRNA from 1 species
UCGCGACGAUACUGCUUGUCCUGACCUACCUCCCGGUUUUCCCCCGGUGCUCUUCGCUGAGUGCCUCGGGUGGCCGGAACGUUUACUUUGAAAAAAUUAGAGUGCUCAAAGCAGGCAGCCUGCCUGAAUAACCGCGCAUGGAAUAAUAGAAUAGGACCUCGGUUCUAUUUUGUUGGUUUUCGGAACUUGAGGUAAUGAUUAAGAGGGACAGACGGGGGCAUUCGUAUUACGGUGUUAGAGGUGAAAUUCUUGGAUCGCCGUAAGACGAACUACUGCGAAAGCAUUUGCCAAGAAUGUUUUCAUUAAUCAAGAACGAAAGUCAGAGGUUCGAAGACGAUCAGAUACCGUCGUAGUUCUGACCAUAAACGAUGUCGACUAGCGAUCCGCGGACGUUGUUCAUAUGACCUCGCGGGCAGCCUUCGGGAAACCAAAGUUUUUGGAUUCCGGGGGAAGUAUAGUUGCAAAGCCGAAACUUAAAGGAAUUGACGGAAGGGCACCACCAGGAGUGGAGCCUGCGGCUUAAUUUGACUCAACACGGGAAAU